CAGUAGCGUAUAUAAAAGUUGUUGCAGUUGAAAAGCUCGUAGUUGGAUUUCUGGCUUGGAACGGCUGGUCCGCCGUAUAUGCGGUGCGUACCGGUUCGAUCCAGCCAUCCUUCCAAGGACCUCUCCUGCCCUUCAUUGGGUCGGGUGUAGGCACUUGGAUCGAUUACUUUGAAAAAAUUAGAGUGUUCAAAGCAGGCGUUUGUCUUGAAUACAUUAGCAUGGAAUAAUGACAUAGGACUUUGGUUCUAUUUUGUUGGUUUCUAGGACUGAAGUAAUGAUUGAUAGGGAUAGUUGGGGGUGCUAGUAUUGUGCGGCCAGAGGUGAAAUUCUUGGAUUCGCGCAAGACUAACUAAUGCGAAAGCAUUCACCAAGGAUGUCUUCGUUAA
rnacentral:rRNA from 1 species